rnacentral:rRNA from 1 species
UACGUAGGUGGCAAGCGUUGUCCGGAUUUACUGGGCGUGAAAGGGCGUGCAGGCGGUCCGUUAAGUUCAGGGUGAAAGCUCCCGGCUCAACUGGGAGAGGUCCUUGGAUACUGGCGGACUCGAGGGAGGUAGAGGAGAGUGGAAUUCCUGGUGUAGCGGUGGAAUGCGCAGAUAUCAGGAGGAACACCGAUGGCGAAGGCAGGUCUCUGGGCCGCAACUGACGCUGAGGAGCGAAAGCGUGGGGAGCAAACAGG